rnacentral:rRNA from 1 species
GUGUCAGCAGCCGCGGUAAUACGAAGGGUGCGAGCGUUAUUCGGAAUAACUGGGCGUAAAGAGCGUGUCGGCGGUUUGUUAAGUCAACUGUAAAAGAACUCGGCUUAACCGAGUAAAUGCGGGUGAAACUGGCAGACUAGAGUACGGGAGAGAAAGGUAGAAUUCUCGGAGUAGCGGUAAAAUGCGUAGAUCUCGAGAGGAAUACCGGUUGCGAAGGCGGCCUUUUGGCCCGUAACUGACGCUUAAGCGCGAAAGCGUGGGGAGCAAACAGGAUUAGAAACCCCAGUAGUCC